ACCAGCUUGCUGGUCGGAUCAGUGGCGAACGGGAGAGUAACACGUGAGUAACCUGCCCCAGACUCUGGGAUAAGCCUUGGAAACGAGGUCUAAUACUGGAUAUGAGAUGCCCCUGCAUGGGGAGUGUCUGGAAAGAUUUAUCGGUCUGGGAUGGACUCGCGGCCUAUCAGCUUGUUGGUGGGGUAAUGGCCUACCAAGGCGACGACGGGUAGCCGGCCUGAGAGGGCGACCGGCCACACUGGGACUGAGACACGGCCCAGACUCCUACGGGAGGCAGCAGUGGGGAAUAUUGCACAAUGGGCGCAAGCCUGAUGCAGCGACGCCGCGUGAGGGAUGAAGGCCUUCGGGUUGUAAACCUCUUUCAGCAGGGAAGAAGCGCAAGUGACGGUACCUGCAGAAGAAGCGCCGGCUAACUACGUGCCAGCAGCCGCGGUAAUACGUAGGGCGCAAGCGUUGUCCGGAAUUAUUGGGCGUAAAGAGCUCGUAGGCGGUUUGUCGCGUCUGGUGUGAAAACUCAAGGCUCAACCUUGAGCUUGCAUCGGGUACGGGCAGACUAGAGUGCGGUAGGGGUGACUGGAAUUCCUGGUGUAGCGGUGGAAUGCGCAGAUAUCAGGAGGAACACCGAUGGCGAAGGCAGGUCACUGGGCCGCAACUGACGCUGAGGAGCGAAAGCAUGGGGAGCGAACAGGAUUAGAUACCCUGGUAGUCCAUGCCGUAAACGUUGGGCACUAGGUGUGGGGCUCAUUCCACGAGUUCCGUGCCGCAGCAAACGCAUUAAGUGCCCCGCCUGGGGAGUACGGCCGCAAGGCUAAAACUCAAAGGGAAUUGACGGGGGCCCGCACAAGCGGCGGAGCAUGCGGAUUAAUUCGAUGCAACGCGAAGAACCUUACCAAGGCUUGACAUACACCGGAAACUUCC
rnacentral:rRNA from 1 species